ACCUGCGGAAGGAUCAUUACAGAGUUCAUGCCCGAAAGGGUAGACCUCCCACCCUUGUGUAUUAUUACUUUGUUGCUUUGGCGAGCUGCCUUCGGGCCUUGUAUGCUCGCCAGAGAAUACCAAAACUCUUUUUAUUAAUGUCGUCUGAGUACUAUAUAAUAGUUAAAACUUUCAACAACGGAUCUCUUGGUUCUGGCAUCGAUGAAGAACGCAGCGAAAUGCGAUAAGUAAUGUGAAUUGCAGAAUUCAGUGAAUCAUCGAAUCUUUGAACGCACAUUGCGCCCCUUGGUAUUCCGGGGGGCAUGCCUGUUCGAGCGUCAUUUCAACCCUCAAGCUUAGCUUGGUAUUGAGUCUAUGUCAGUAAUGGCAGGCUCUAAAAUCAGUGGCGGCGCCGCUGGGUCCUGAACGUAGUAAUAUCUCUCGUUACAGGUUCUCGGUGUGCUUCUGCCAAAACCCAAAUUUUUCUAUGGUUGACCUCGGAUCAGGUAGGGAUACCCGCUGAACUUAAGCAUAUCAAUAAACGGAGGA
rnacentral:rRNA from 1 species